rnacentral:rRNA from 1 species
AGAGCGAACGCUGGCGGCAGGCUUAACACAUGCAAGUCGAGCGGGCGUAGCAAUACGUCAGCGGCAGACGGGUGAGUAACGCGUGGGAACAUACCUUUUGGUUCGGAACAACACAGGGAAACUUGUGCUAAUACCGGAUACGCCCUUACGGGGAAAGAUUUAUCGCCGAAAGAUUGGCCCGCGUCUGAUUAGCUAGUUGGUGAGGUAAUGGCUCACCAAGGCGACGAUCAGUAGCUGGUCUGAGAGGAUGAUCAGCCACAUUGGGACUGAGACACGGCCCAAACUCCUACGGGAGGCAGCAGUGGGGAAUAUUGGACAAUGGGCGCAAGCCUGAUCCAGCCAUGCCGCGUGAGUGAUGAAGGCCCUAGGGUUGUAAAGCUCUUUUGUGCGGGAAGAUAAUGACGGUACCGCAAGAAUAAGCCCGGCUAACUUCGUGCCAGCAGCCGC